UCACUAAUUCCUAUUGCGUGUUGCUGCCCAUCCUUUCUUAAUAGUCCUGGAGGGAGUUAGAAUCUCUACCUAUAGGUUGUUCUAGACAUACCCCAUACAGUUUUAAAGGCAAAAAUCUAAGGCGUCGGUCAAAGAAAAGCAUUUAGGAUUCACAUAAAUAGAUAAAUUAAAGGCUUAUAGUUUCCUCCGCAAACAAUCG
rnacentral:lncRNA from 1 species